rnacentral:misc_RNA from 1 species
GUAUAGUUUUUAUAGGCACAACAUUCUAUUAACAUACAUUGGGGUAAAUGAAAAAGCAAGAUUGACCUGAAGGCGUGCACAUGCUCCCUAGAGAACCAGCAACAACCCAUCAGGUUUAUUUCAAUAAUGAUCCUUCCGCAGGUUCACCUACGGAAA